rnacentral:rRNA from 1 species
UUAAGCGACUAAGCGUACACGGUGGAUGCCCUGGCAGUCAGAGGCGAUGAAGGACGUGCUAAUCUGCGAUAAGCGUCGGUGAGGUGAUAUGAACCGUUAUAACCGGCGAUUUCCGAAUGGGGAAACCCAGUGUGUUUCGACACACUAUCAUUAACUGAAUCCAUAGGUUAAUGAGGCGAACCGGGGGAACUGAAACAUCUAAGUACCCCGAGGAAAAGAAAUCAACCGAGAUUCCCCCAGUAGCGGCGAGCGAACGGGGAGGAGCCCAGAGCCUGAAUCAGUGUGUGUGUUAGUGGAAGCGUCUGGAAAGGCGUGCGAUACAGGGUGACAGCCCCGUACACAAAAAUGCACAUGCUGUGAGCUCGAUGAGUAGGGCGGGACACGUGGUAUCCUGUCUGAAUAUGGGGGGACCAUCCUCCAAGGCUAAAUACUCCUGACUGACCGAUAGUGAACCAGUACCGUGAGGGAAAGGCGAAAAGAACCCCGGCGAGGGGAGUGAAAAAGAACCUGAAACCGUGUACGUACAAGCAGUGGGAGCCUCUUAAUGGGGUGACUGCGUACCUUUUGUAUAAUGGGUCAGCGACUUAUAUUCUGUAGCAAGGUUAACCGAAUAGGGGAGCCGAAGGGAAACCGAGUCUUAACUGGGCGUUAAGUUGCAGGGUAUAGACCCGAAACCCGGUGAUCUAGCCAUGGGCAGGUUGAAGGUUGGGUAACACUAACUGGAGGACCGAACCGACUAAUGUUGAAAAAUUAGCGGAUGACUUGUGGCUGGGGGUGAAAGGCCAAUCAAACCGGGAGAUAGCUGGUUCUCCCCGAAAGCUAUUUAGGUAGCGCCUCGUGAAUUCAUCUCCGGGGGUAGAGCACUGUUUCGGCAAGGGGGUCAUCCCGACUUACCAACCCGAUGCAAACUGCGAAUACCGGAGAAUGUUAUCACGGGAGACACACGGCGGGUGCUAACGUCCGUCGUGAAGAGGGAAACAACCCAGACCGCCAGCUAAGGUCCCAAAGUCAUGGUUAAGUGGGAAACGAUGUGGGAAGGCCCAGACAGCCAGGAUGUUGGCUUAGAAGCAGCCAUCAUUUAAAGAAAGCGUAAUAGCUCACUGGUCGAGUCGGCCUGCGCGGAAGAUGUAACGGGGCUAAACCAUGCACCGAAGCUGCGGCAGCGACGCUUAUGCGUUGUUGGGUAGGGGAGCGUUCUGUAAGCCUGUGAAGGUGGCCUGUGAGGGUUGCUGGAGGUAUCAGAAGUGCGAAUGCUGACAUAAGUAACGAUAAAGCGGGUGAAAAGCCCGCUCGCCGGAAGACCAAGGGUUCCUGUCCAACGUUAAUCGGGGCAGGGUGAGUCGACCCCUAAGGCGAGGCCGAAAGGCGUAGUCGAUGGGAAACAGGUUAAUAUUCCUGUACUUGGUGUUACUGCGAAGGGGGGACGGAGAAGGCUAUGUUGGCCGGGCGACGGUUGUCCCGGUUUAAGCGUGUAGGCUGGUUUUCCAGGCAAAUCCGGAAAACCAAGGCUGAGGCGUGAUGACGAGGCACUACGGUGCUGAAGCGACAAAUGCCCUGCUUCCAGGAAAAGCCUCUAAGCAUCAGGUAACAUCAAAUCGUACCCCAAACCGACACAGGUGGUCAGGUAGAGAAUACCAAGGCGCUUGAGAGAACUCGGGUGAAGGAACUAGGCAAAAUGGUGCCGUAACUUCGGGAGAAGGCACGCUGAUAUGUAGGUGAAGCGACUUGCUCGUGGAGCUGAAAUCAGUCGAAGAUACCAGCUGGCUGCAACUGUUUAUUAAAAACACAGCACUGUGCAAACACGAAAGUGGACGUAUACGGUGUGACGCCUGCCCGGUGCCGGAAGGUUAAUUGAUGGGGUUAGCGGCAACGCGAAGCUCUUGAUCGAAGCCCCGGUAAACGGCGGCCGUAACUAUAACGGUCCUAAGGUAGCGAAAUUCCUUGUCGGGUAAGUUCCGACCUGCACGAAUGGCGUAAUGAUGGCCAGGCUGUCUCCACCCGAGACUCAGUGAAAUUGAACUCGCUGUGAAGAUGCAGUGUACCCGCGGCAAGACGGAAAGACCCCGUGAACCUUUACUAUAGCUUGACACUGAACAUUGAGCCUUGAUGUGUAGGAUAGGUGGGAGGCUUUGAAGUGUGGACGCCAGUCUGCAUGGAGCCGACCUUGAAAUACCACCCUUUAAUGUUUGAUGUUCUAACGUGGGCCCCUAAUCGGGGUUGCGGACAGUGUCUGGUGGGUAGUUUGACUGGGGCGGUCUCCUCCUAAAGAGUAACGGAGGAGCACGAAGGUUGGCUAAUCCUGGUCGGACAUCAGGAGGUUAGUGCAAUGGCAUAAGCCAGCUUGACUGCGAGCGUGACGGCGCGAGCAGGUGCGAAAGCAGGUCAUAGUGAUCCGGUGGUUCUGAAUGGAAGGGCCAUCGCUCAACGGAUAAAAGGUACUCCGGGGAUAACAGGCUGAUACCGCCCAAGAGUUCAUAUCGACGGCGGUGUUUGGCACCUCGAUGUCGGCUCAUCACAUCCUGGGGCUGAAGUAGGUCCCAAGGGUAUGGCUGUUCGCCAUUUAAAGUGGUACGCGAGCUGGGUUUAGAACGUCGUGAGACAGUUCGGUCCCUAUCUGCCGUGGGCGCUGGAGAACUGAGGGGGGCUGCUCCUAGUACGAGAGGACCGGAGUGGACGCAUCACUGGUGUUCGGGUUGUCAUGCCAAUGGCACUGCCCGGUAGCUAAAUGCGGAAGAGAUAAGUGCUGAAAGCAUCUAAGCACGAAACUUGCCCCGAGAUGAGUUCUCCCUGACUCCUUGAGAGUCCUGAAGGAACGUUGAAGACGACGACGUUGAUAGGCCGGGUGUGUAAGCGCAGCGAUGCGUUGAGCUAACCGGUACUAAUGAACCGUGAGGCUUAACCUU